rnacentral:misc_RNA from 1 species
GAUGAAGAACGUAGCUAAAUGCGAUAAGUAAUGUGAAUUGCAGAAUUCAGUGAAUCAUCGAAUCUUUGAACGCACAUUGCGCCCCUCGGUAUUCCGAGGGGCAUGCCUGUUCGAGCGUCAUUAUAACCCUUCAAGCUCAGCUUGGUGUUGGGGCCUGCUGUAACUGGUAGCCCUUAAAAUCAGUGGCAGUGCUAUUAGGCUCUAAGCGUAGUAAUUCUUCUCGCUAUAGUGUGUAGUGAGCGCUUGCCAGAACCCCAAACUUUUAUAUGAUUGACCUCGGAUCAGGUAGGGAUACCCGCUGAACUUAAGCAUAUCAAUAAGCGGAGGA